CUCUCUGUCUCAAAAAUAAAUAAAUGUAAAAAAAAAUUUUUUUAACAACAUGUCCCGCAACUGUUUAUACAAUACCUCGUUCCAGGGAGGUACAUGGCUAAUCAGGGCACCUAUUUCCUACUGUCAUACUUAAUUGGAAGUUUUGCUCACAAGGUUAAAUUACAGCAAGCAUUGUGUGUCACUGUGAAAAUACUCCCUUCCGCUUUAAUGGCACAUGGGUGGACGAAAAUGCUUCUAAGGCUGCCUGAAAGGACACCAGGCUCCUGUGGGUUCUUGCUGUCUUCCGCCAAUACUUUUUCAUUUUCCUUUAACAACGGCAGUAGUAAUAACAUUGGUCCAAGAAGAAGUUAGUAGAGAAAAAUAAAGACCAAGCAUCUGAUAUUCACAACCUGACGCAACAGAAGAGUGGAAUAUAAACAUACACAAAUUAAUUUAAGCCCAUAGAAAAUCUCUCAAACUGUGUAGCCUACAGCACAUCUCCUCUUGUCCACAACAUUCCAUCAGGCCAGCGGAACAUCAUCAUCAUCAUUAUAGCUUGUACAUACUGAGUGCUAACCCUGUGCCAGGCAUUGUGCCAAGGGUUGUCAUGACAACUCACUUAACCCCGUAAGAAGAGUGCCAUCAUAAUUUCCAUUGUCAAAGGAACGGGAUGUACAUCUAGGACCGCCUAACCUCAAGCCCCAGCUCAAGAGCACAGUGGGAGGAUUGAGGCUUGGAUGGAGAUGGAAUGCAUCGUUUUCAAUAUACUGUCUCAUUGCCAUCAUACUGUCUUCUAAGCCCUCCAUUACCCGCCCUCUGCUUGACGGUAGAGACCAAAGUGUGUGUUCGUACCACCAGCGUUUUGCAAAGCAGUUACGCACGAACAGAAAGUCCCGCGGACGCUCCAUGAUGAGUGGCACCUAAGCUGUCCGGUUCUUCGGGUUUUCCCAGCGCAGAGCCCGGUACUAGAAACUCCCAAGGGACUUACCUGCCUUGUGCAAGGAAUUCCCCAUAAGCCCAGAGCCCAGCAGAGAGGAGGCACUCCAUACAGCUUUCCAACCACCAACUGCUGAAGGAGGCUCAGGUUAAGUCAUUCUCUUCAGGCUCCAGGAUAAGCGGGUCCGGUUUGUAGGUUACAGCCUUAUCUGGGGACCCUCGUUUUCCACCCCAGCUACACGUCUGUGAACAAUCGCCUCUCCGGCCCCUGAAAGGAGAGCGAGCGCCCCAUUUCUGCUGAAUGCACGUCUCAGUUCAUCCAAGGCUGGCGGGCUUUUGAUGGCCACAAUGCGAGUUACGCCCAAAGAGUGUCUCUUUGGUCAGAUCGACAACGCUUGGCUUCACGUUUGCAAGUUAAACGGGCAGAAACCCGGCUGAAACUCCCACGCCAGACGCCGGGGACGCUUCCCUCCGCCCAGUAGCUGCUUUCCUCCAGCCCCUGAAAAUGUGACUCCUUCAUAAAAUCAAAAUUUAUGAUUAUUCAAAUGUUGGGGACUGUGAAAAGAGAGGAAGAAAGAGAGAAAAUUAAUAUUGCAGCUGUUCUUCUGAUUAAUGAGAGAUAAUUGCUCAUGAAAAGUCACCCCUGUGGCAUUUUGUUGUCUCCUGGAUCUUUGUUCUUUUCCACUAUUAUUGAGGACUUUCUUGAAGACUAAGCGGUUCUUUUCAAUUUUUGGGUAUUCAGAAAGGGUUGCCUGGUUACAGAGAAUGGGGAAAUCUCGGGCUAUAUCGGGUAAGAUGUGCCAAAGACAGCAAUAUCACAAUGCCACUCGGAGAAAAGGAUGGAUACAAGUUAACGAUGCGCUUUCAAUAAAACAUUCAUAGACUUGUUCACGCUUUGAUAAUGACCUCAUUAAAGGGAGCUGGGGGCAAGUAAGUCCUGUCUCCUGUUUGUGUUCGGCUAACAAAACCCAGCUUUGAGAUCAUUCAUCGCUUUGGAAACUAAUAUGAAAUCAAUGUAA